GACGAACGCUGGCGGCGUGCUUAACACAUGCAAGUCGAACGGAAAGGCCCUGCUUUUGUGGGGUGCUCGAGUGGCGAACGGGUGAGUAACACGUGAGUAACCUGCCCUUGACUUUGGGAUAACUUCAGGAAACUGGGGCUAAUACCGGAUAGGAGCUCCUGCUGCAUGGUGGGGGUUGGAAAGUUUCGGCGGUUGGGGAUGGACUCGCGGCUUAUCAGCUUGUUGGUGGGGUAGUGGCUUACCAAGGCUUUGACGGGUAGCCGGCCUGAGAGGGUGACCGGCCACAUUGGGACUGAGAUACGGCCCAGACUCCUACGGGAGGCAGCAGUGGGGAAUAUUGCACAAUGGGCGGAAGCCUGAUGCAGCAACGCCGCGUGCGGGAUGACGGCCUUCGGGUUGUAAACCGCUUUCUCCUGUGACGAAGCGUGAGUGACGGUAAUGGGGAAAGAAGCACCGGCUAACUACGG
rnacentral:rRNA from 1 species